GAUGAAGAACGUAGCGAAAUGCGAUAUGUAAUGUGAAUUGCAGAAUUCAGUGAAUCAUCGAAUCUUUGAACGCACAUUGCGCCCGCCAGUAUUCUGGCGGGCAUGCCUGUUCGAGCGUCAUUUCAACCAUCAAGCCCCCCGGCUUGUGUUGGGGACCUGCGGCUGCCGCAGGCCCUGAAAAGCAGUGGCGGGCUCGCUGUCACACCGAGCGUAGUAGCAUACAUCUCGCUCUGGGCGUGCUGCGGGUUCCGGCCGUUAAACCACCUUCAUAACCCAAGGUUGACCUCGGAUCAGGUAGGAAGACCCGCUGAACUUAAGCAUAUCAAUAAGCGGAGGA
rnacentral:misc_RNA from 1 species